rnacentral:rRNA from 1 species
AUUGAACGCUGGCGGCAGGCCUAACACAUGCAAGUCGAGCGGAGCGGCGGACGGGUGAGUAAUGCCUAGGACUCUGCCUGGUAGUGGGGGAUAACGUCCGGAAACGGGCGCUAAUACCGCAUCCUAUCAGAUGAGCCUAGGUCGGAUUAGCUAUUUGGUGGGUUAAAGGCCUACCAAGGCGACGAUCCGUACCUGGUCUGAGAGGAGGAUCAGUCACACUGGAAGUGAGCAAGGGUCCAGCCUCCUACGGGAGGAAGAGUUGGGGAAUAUGGGACAAUGGGCGAAAGCAUGAUCCAGACAUGCCGCGUGUGGGAAGAAGGUCUUCGGAUUGUAAAGCACUUUAAGUUGGGAGGCGUUACCAACAGAGUAAGCACCGGCUAACUUCGUGCCAGCAGCCGCGGUAAUAC